GUUCUUGUCAUGAUCUUGAUUAUAUAUGCAAGACAAAGCUCUGGGUGCUUGGGAUACAGAGUGGAACAGAACAGACAAAUUUUCUCGGUGUUUACCUCACAUAACACGAUUACAAAUCAAUCAAUCAGUAAGAAAAUAUCAACUAGUGUUAAGUGCCACAUGGAUAAAUGGGGUGGGGUAAUAUGCUAGAGGGUGACUGUGGGCUACACUGGACUAGAUGGUCAGGAAACCCUCUCUGAGGCGGUUAUAUUUACACAGAGACACAAAUGUCAAAAAGGACCUAGCAAUGCAAAGAUCUGAAGGAAAAUAAUUCAAGGGGGAAAAAAAAGCAACUAAGACACAUACCUGCAGGCCUGAAGGCCAGAAUAAGUGUGAUGUGUUUGUGAAGCAGAGAACACCAAAUGGGUGGUGCUGAGGGGUAAGGAGCAAGACUGGAGAGAAGAUAGAGCCCAGGUAGGAGAGGGCAGGGAAGGCCAGGAGGAGGUAAUGCAGGAGUUACUGAGUCUCAGCAUCCGACGUGACUGAGUAAAUGAUGCUGUCACUCACUGAGGUCACAAAGGGAGCGGGUUUGACAGGUUCUGUUGUGAGGUGUGCUGUAUUUGCACAGGUUGUAGGAAACCUAAGUGAAUAUUUAGAAAACAUCCAGGAUUCAUGAGAAGGAUGAGGAUGGAAGAUAAACAUGCUGAAAGACAGCCACUGGUCCUGGUUUUUCGGCUCUUUUACCUAACACAGGAUCACUGUGGGCAGCCCAGAAGUAUCUGAGAAGCGCUGGAACAGUGCUGGCAUGGAGCAUAGGCCUGCGUGUGUUAGCAGUUGUUCCGCUCAACAACCGGAGAGCGCUGGAGACAGCGGGGGACUGGAGAGCUAAACGUGGGGGAUGCAGCCUCCAGGGAAGAGAACCCUCACACCUUUGGACUUUAAUGCACCCAAGAACCCCACUGCCAUCAGCAUCACACCCAGGAAGACAGGCUCCUUCAGGUCUCUUCUCAGAGAUGAACGGCCUACAUCCAAAUGGCCAAAAUUUUUUUCAAAAAAAUUUUGAUGAAGGCUCUUAAGUGGUAGGGUGUCACUUAGCCUUUCAAUCUUGAAUGCUUC
rnacentral:lncRNA from 1 species